UCAGCACAUCCAGAGUGCAAUGGAUAAGCCUUGCCCUGGGAAAACCACCUUCGUGAUCAUGAAGAUAGGAAGAGCACAU